CUUUCUCACCCUUCCCUACCUUUGAAAAUCAACCACCGUCACCACCAUCGAUAGUCACUGCAACAACGAUUUGUCGACAUUACCGUAAAUCGUCGGCUACACCACUGCUUUUACCCUAACACCACCAAUUGCAACCACAACAAAGCCUUCCGUAAUCAAACUUUAAACACAAACCCAAUAAUCUUAGCCUUCAAUUUCCUACCCUCCACCACCAAAUCCCUUAUGGGCUUCCCAUAAAAAGUUAAAAGCACUAUCCGACAUGUAUAUUUGUAUUUCGUACUCCACCCAAUCCGAAUGUCCGCUGCAAUUUUUCCCAAGGAUGUCAAGAUCUUAAGGGUGACUUUAUUUGUGUGUUUUUGCUCAUUACUAGGGUGAUUGGAACGAAGAUUGUGUCCACACAAAAUACAGGUAAAACAUUGUUAAAUUAUAAAUGAUACUCCGGAUUUGAAAUUUUUUAUCAGAACCCUCGUCUGAACUCUUAGCAAUUUUGUUCGUUCAGACUCUAGAAUGAGAGCGCCUUUUGUGGAAAUAUUUCUCAUUAAUCAUAACAUAGGUACAAGUCUGUAUAAAUCGAGUUACAGCAAAAGAAUAUAAGGAAAGAAUAAUAAAAGGAAAAUUAAAAAAAUGCUAACUUUUAAGGAAACUAAACAUCCUAGGAUAUUCAUACAUUUUUAGCCGAGAUUCUCUUAGAGAAAUAGGAAACUUUCCAACACUCUCCCUCAAGCUGGCUUGAAGAUAUCUAUCAUAGCUAGCUUGCUAAUGAAGUUUUAAAACUGUAUUUUCGACAGCCCCUUUCUCAGUAUGUCUGCUACUUGCUUAGCUUUCGAGAUAUAUGGAGACAUAUUACUCCUUCAUCUAUUUUCUCUUUGGUAAAAUGCAUGUCUACCUCCACAUGUUUCGUUCUACCAUAAAGAAUUAUGAGCAAUAGCAAUUGCAGCUUUAUUGUCACGAUAUAGUUUCAUUAGUAGUGAAUUAGUAACCUUUAAUUCUUCUAGCAACCUUUUGAUCCAUAAAGCUUUACAAAUGCCAUGAGCAACAGCCAUAAAUUUUGCUUUUGCACUACUUCUUGCCACCACAUUUUGUUUUUUACUGCGCCAUGUUACAAAUUUUCUCCAAUAAAAGUACAAUAGCAAGAAGUUGAUCUUCUAUGGUGACACUUCCAACCCAAUCUGCAUCAGUGUGUACUUUCAAUCUGUAAAUUCCCAUGUCCUCUAAGUAACAAACCUUUACCUGGAGUCUCUUUUAGGUACCUUAAAAUUCUGUACACAGCAUCAAAGUGCUCAAGUCCUUGUGAGUGCAUAAAUUGACAUACCAUGCUUAUUGGAAAAGCUAUGCCAUGAUAUGCAUGAGAGAGAUAAAUGACUUUUUCUACCAAUUAUUGGUAUUGCUCUCUAUUGGUUACCUAUUCACCCUUAGCUGGUUGGAUUUUUACGUUCGGUUCUAUAGGUGUUUCUAUUGCUUUGCACCAUAGCAAACCAGUUUGUCCAAGUAAAUCAAGAACAUACUUGUGUUGGAAAAACCUUUCAAAUUCCAAACCAAGAAAAUACUUCAAGUUACCUAAGUCUCUGAUCUCGAAUUUCUGAGCACUAAUUUUUUUAACCUCUCUAGCUCAUUGCUAUCACCAAUUGUGAGAAUUAUACAUCCACAUGGAUAAUAACAAUAGCCAUUUUACCUCUACUCUUGUGUAUAUAGAACAUAGUAUGAUCGGCUUGACCAUAGCAAUAGUUGUGACUCUUUAUUACCCAAAGCAUUGAAAACAAGCUCGAGGAGAUUGUUUGAGUCUGUGCAAAGAUUUUUUUUAAUAUGAACAUCUUGCCUUUGCCAUCUUUCCCUUCAAAUCCUAGUGGUAGAUUCAUAAAGACUUCCUACUCUAAGUCUUCAUUUAAGAAGGCAUUCUUCACAUUUAGUUGAUAUAAGGGCCAGUUAGAUUGAAUUGAUAGAGAGAAUAACGCAUGGAUUGAGUUCAUCUUGGCUGCAGGAGUAAAUGUUUUCUCGUAGUCAAUUUCAUGUGUUUAAGUGAACCCCUUCGUCACAAUUUUUGCUUUGUACCUUUAUAUACUCCCUUCAGCCUUGAACUUUAUUGCAAAUAGCCAUUUAGACCCAACAAUCUUGUUCCCCUCUGGCAGGACACCAAUUUCCCAAGUGCUGUUAGCAAUUAGUACGUCCAUCUCUUCUUUAACAUCCAAUCUCCAUUCCAUGUGAUCUAGUUCUUUCUGAAUGGUUUUUGAAAUAAAUAGAGGAGAAACAUUUGAAGAAAAUGCCUUAUAAGUAUCGGAGAGUCUAUAAGAGAAUAGAUGGUUGGAAAUAGGCAGGUCAAGAUCAAAAGAAUUAUCUAAAGAAGGAUUUAGAGAAGUAGUACCUGAAGUAUGCUGAGGAGGACCAACUAUUGUAGGUGUUGAUGAUUGGCCUUGCUCUGGAUUUGAAAGAGCUUGAUGAUUUCUUUUUCUGUUAUAAACACAAAGCUCAAAUGAGGGAAUAUUUGAUAGUACUUCCCCUAUUUAUGAAUCAGGAAUGCCUUGUAUAGGUAGAAUAUGAUUUCCGUUAUUUUCAUUGAUUAAAGUAUCAAUUUCCAGACCUUUAAAGAAUCGAUGUCAAUGUCAAGGACAAUAUUGGGAAGAGGCUUAUAGGAUCGUCAGAACUUAUCUUCAUUUUUCCGUCUCUCCCCCUGAAGAUAGUUACGACAAAAAAAGAAGAAGCUGAUUUUCAAUAAAUUAACAUCCAUACUGAUUGUACCAUUUUUAUUAAGAGCACAGCCAAGCAAAACACAUUUUUCUGCCAUAGGAUAAAGCUUGGAUCGAAGAUGGGCCACCAUAUGAACAAAAACACUGCAUCUAAACAUAUUUCGUUGCAAGUCAGACGAUAUCCAACAAGAAAGUAACAAUUUUUUAGGCAAUCUAAAGGAGUAAUAUAUUUUAAAACUCGAGUAGGCAUCUUAUUAAUGAGAUAACAUGAAGUUAAAAUAGCUUCACCCUCAUGCAACCACUAACAAGUUAAAGCCUGUGCAACCUCUAACAAGUGAUGAUUUUUCCUUUCAGCAAUGUCAUUUUGUUGUGGGGGUGUUGGGACAAGUAGAUUGAUGUUGAAUACCCUUUGUAGAGAGAAACGUUCCUUAAAAUUUGUUAAAAUAUUCAAUACCAUUAUUGGUUCAAAGGAUAUUGAUUUUUCUUUAGAAUUGGGUUCAACCAUAAUACAAAAAUCAUGAAAAAAUUUUGCAACUUCAGAUUUAUCAUUCAACAAGUAGACCCAACACAAAUGUUUAUGAUCAUCAAUAAAUAUAACAAACCAUUUCUUACCAGAAGUAAUGGUGAUUUUUUAGGGACCCUAAACAUCACUAUGGUUUAAAUAAAAAUGUUUGGAAGAAUGAUAAGCUUUAGAUUGUCUAGUGCUUCAGUAACAUUUGGAUAUGUGGCAAACAUCACAAUGAAGAGAAUUACAAUCCAAAUUUUUAAAUAAGUUAGGAAACAAAUGUUUUAAAUAGAGAAAACUAGGAUGUCCUAAUCUAAAAUGUCAAAGCACUAUUUGUUCAUUACAAAAUCAGAUCUAGUACUAUUACUUAAACCUUGAGCCUUUUUAUUGUCAAAUAAAUUCUCAUCAAAGUAGUAGAGUCCACCAAUCAUCCUACCACUGCCAAUCAUCCUCUCCGAGAGUUUGUCCUGAAAUUCACAAUGGGAAUCUAAGAAAAUGACACGACAAUUAGUAUCCUGUGAAAAUAGCGAGUUACAGGCAAGUUUAGGGACGUGAAGGAGAGAUAUGAUUUCUAUUUUUCUAGAGAUUUGGACAUAACUUAUUACAACAAUGGAAGAAAAACUUUCAUCUGCAAUUUUAAUAUAUUUAUUAAUAGAACAGGGAGAAUAAGAUUAUAACAACUGAGAGGUACUAGUCAUGUGAUCAGAUGCACAAGAUCAAUAAUCCAUGGUGCAAGAUUUAAGCUUCAACGGUAGGCACUAGAGUUUUCACCUGUUUGAGCUAAUGAACUAAUAUGAAGACUGGAUGCAGAAGUAGAUUUAAGCAGUUGAAGAAGAUGAUCCAUUUGCUCAGCACUUAGGAAAUUAGCUUCAUUGGCUUUAUCUACUGCAUGAUUGGUUCCAGAGGGUCCAGAUAUGUUAUUCUUCCAAUUUGUUGACUUUCCAUGGAGUUUUCAGCAAUUUUCUCGAGUGUUCAUGGCAUCUUGCAGUAGUCGCACCAUGCUUGAUGCUUAUCUUCUAAUCUUUUAUCAUCUUCUUAUUUUGUUUGCAAUCAUCAGGAUUUUUCCAUUCAUAUUCAUUCAAUAAAUCUAGAUCUUGCCAUAGGCCCUUAAGAACAUUUAAUUACCUUGUUACAUAGCCAUUUCCUUAAUAACUAUUGCUAAUCUUCCGUUGCAGUUUAUAAAUUUGAGAGUAAUUCCUAAGGUUAGCGUACAUUUGAUUCACAUUGUCCCAAAGUUCUUUUGCAGUAGAAUAGCACAUGUAACUAGUGUUAAUUUCUUCAUCCAUAGCAUUCACGAGCUAUGCCACCACCAAGGAAUUUUCAGCAUCCCAUAUAGCAUAAGAUAGGCCUAUCUUCCCAGACUCUUUAGCUUCACCAGUAAAGUACCCCAUCUUCCCUCUUCCAUGAACAUAGAUCCUGAUGGAUUGUGACAAUCAUAGAAAGUUGGCCUUAUUCAAUCAUAUAUUCGUAAUCUGGACAUAGUAAGUUUCAUAAUAGAUAGCUUUGAUUGGAGUUUCAACCAUGGCUACAGUAAUAGAAGAAAGGGGUAGAGUUUGAACAAGAAAGAAAACUAUUGGCCACAAGGAAAAUUAUGGUUUACAAAAGGUUAAGAGCCGAACCUGGUUCGCAUGCCAUCUAGAAUGAGAGAGCCUCUUGUGAAAAUAAUUCUCCUUAAUCAUAACAUAGGUUCGUGGCUAUAUAAACAAAGUUACAGUAGAAGAAAAGAAAGAAAGAAAGAAUAAAAGAAAAGAAAAGAAUAAAAAAUGCUAACUUAUAAAGUAACUAUAUAUCCUAGGAUAUUCACAAAUUUACAGUCGAGAUUUUCUUACAGUCCGUUUGAUUGUAAAGAUCGAAUUUGGAUUGAAAGAAAACGAAUUUCAGGGAAUUGAAUUGCCUAGAAAUUGUAAAUUAUUGUGUUUGAUUAGUAUAAUUUUCCACGUGGAAAAUAUUGAAAUAAAAGUAUAAUUUUGUGUCCGUUUAGCUUUGUUUUACAUGAAAAUUGUCAAUUUAAGAGAUGAAAUUUACUGGUAUUCGGGAUGAAAUUUGUUUCCAUUAUCAAAACAAAAACAAAAAAAAUCAAGAAAAUCAUCUAUCUUUUGAUGUUCGUUUGACUUUGUUUUACAUGAAAAUUGUCAAUUAAAUGGAAAUUUUUUUUACAAUUACAACCAAAAAAAAAAAAAAAAAAAACACCUGGAAAAUCAACUCCCACCAUAUUGGUGGGAAUUGAUUUUCCCACAAAAGCUAGAAAACUACAACUCCCAAGAAAUCCAAGAACUUAAUUUCCAUGGAAAAUAUAACACUGUCAAACACACAAAUUUUGGAAAUUGGCAUUCUGAUUCCAUUUUACCUAGAAAAUUGGUGCUUAGAGAAAUAUGAAACUUUCCAACAAGCACCAAGUCUAUGAGGAAAGAAAGCAGCUUUGAAAUCUUCAAGAAAGUGAUGGACUCCUACCAAGUUUACAAAUUCUAUAAGAACCCAAAAGGAUGGAGAAGAAUUUGCAACAACUAAUUUUGUUAUUAUGGCAAGUUGUGGAGGGUAAGUAGUUAGAAAGAAUCUAUAAAUACAAUGGCAACAAGUAGUUAGGAGAGAGACUUAGGAGAGAAUAGCCCUCUCUCAAGGCUGCUUGUAUAUUUUCUCUAUUUUCUGUAAUUUCCAUUCAAUCAAUACAAAGUAUCUCUGCUAUCAUAUUCAUCUGUUCAUUGCAAUUACAAGUGGUCCCUAUCAAAAUGGUGUCAAACAAGGGCUAAGAUUGAUAAUAAGAAUUUUUGAAGUCAUCAAAAUUCAUCUCCAAUGGUAUGGUGUCGAUCGUCAUUUAAAA
rnacentral:lncRNA from 1 species